rnacentral:rRNA from 1 species
UACGUAGGGUGCGAGCGUUAAUCGGAAUUACUGGGCGUAAAGCGUGCGUAGGCGGUUCUCCAAGUCCGUUGUGAAAGCCCCCGGCUCAACUGGGGAGGGUCACGCGAUACUGAUCGACUCGAAGGCAGGAGAGGGUAGUGGAAUUCCCGGUGUAGUGGUGAAAUGCGUAGAUAUCGGGAGGAACACCAGUGGCGAAGGCGACUACCUGGCCUGUUUCUUGACGCUGAGGCGCGAAAGCUAGGGGAGCAAACGGG